ACGUCUAUAUUACGUUGAAACCCCGGCGCUCGUACGAUCACUGAAGUUAAGCAACGUCAAGCCUGGACAGUACCUAAAUGGGGGACCGCUUGGGAAUACUAGGUGAUGUAAG